AAAAGAUCACCAAGAGGACACCAUGAACACAUCCGAUUAACACACACUCACAAUAACAACCUUCACACGAAAUCGACGCACCCACACACAUAUACUCGAUAAACACACGCACACGACACAUAUAGUGAAAACUACAGGAAAAGAAGGGAAAAAUGGCGUGAGAAUUGAGGUGGAAGAAUGAAGCAGACUUCCGAUUACUGUUUCGAUGACGGCUUCACCGAAAAUGCUUCAAACGUCACCAGAUCUGUUCAAAAUCGUCGUCAAUCCACGUCCUCCGAUCGAUUUCUCUGAUGAAUCUGGCCAGAAAAAUAUUUUGAGCAGGCUUCUUGUUCUUUUUCGGUGGAAAAUACCUUUAAACGAGUGAGAUUUUAAAAAUUAGGUCCGUUCAUUUCUUUUACGGAUUGUAGCAUUGCUAUAUUGGCAUGUUUGGGUUGAUUCCAUUAGGGUUUUGGGUGGAUUUCAGUGAAACUUGUGUACGGGGGUUUCGGUUUUGUUCAUAUUUACUGUUUUGGGUAUUCAUCUGGAAUUUAGUUCAAAUCAAAACUCGAGCUAUCGUAUUGCUGGUUUGUUUCGCUGCUGAUUGGGAGAAUCAAAUUCGGGGUUAUCACAUCUUGGACUAUUUUUUGACUAAUUUGGAGAGUCGAGGUUGCAUUGGUAUUCUUUGAGGUUUUCAGAAUGGCUCUUAUUUCUCUUAUUAAGUCAAUCGAAAGCUAUUGAGAUAAGUGGUUGGCUUGUAGCACUCUGGCUAGUCAUCCGUACUACACUAGAUCAAAAGCGAAGCUUGCCAUGGCCCGUAGGGAGAUUGAAAAUUCACUCAUUGAACCAGAUCAGGAUCCCAGGGAAGAAUGUUCAGAACGCAAUGAUGAGGUAUUGAGACUUAGACAACAAUUUCUAGAUCUGCACCGAGCAUGGGCUAGUGGCAUGCCACCUCCUCUACUCCUGAAGAUCUUGGGAAUAUCCCAAAUUGCCCAUCUCUCUCUCAGACGUAAUUCUAUGUUCCUAUUGAGUCACCCGAGCAUGCGCCAGGAUUCACUCCACAACAAUAUUAUACGGGAACUUCUAGUGUGCCCCUGGCAGCACCCCAACCAAGGCCCGCUACUCAGUCGGCACCACCAGCAGCACCUGUGUUUGUGGCUCUUCCACCACCUGAAGCUCCCACCUAUAUUGUGCGUCUGACAACGGUGCUUCCUCGAUCUGCUAGUGAGCCAGUAUUGGAGGUUUUAGAUAAUCAGUCUUAUGCCACGGAGCCUACUUUGAGGAUUAAUGAACCGUAUGGGUACACUUAACUACCUGUAUUUCCGUUUGAUACGGAGAAGCCUGUCGCAACAGAAGAAUAGGAAAUCGUAGUGUGGAAAUUGAAAAGUUUGGAACAGGCCAUGAGGAAUUUGCAGGGAAUCAGAGAUUAUAAGAGUGUUUCCUAUAAAGAUCUUUGCAUGUUCCCAGGUGUUAACCUUCCCCUUGGUUUUAAAAUGCCUAAAUUUGAGAAGUAUGCUGGGCACGGUUAUCCCGUGGCGCACUUAAGAUGUUAUUGCAACCAGUUGAGGGCUGCAGGGGGAAGGGAAGAGUUGCUUAUGGCUUUCUUUGGUGAGAGUCUUUUCGAUAUGGCUUCAGAAUGGUUUGUCGAUCAAGAUAUAGACAUGUGGAACAGCUAGGAUGACCUAGCUUCUAAUUUUGUGCAACAUUUUUAGUAUAACGUCGACCAUAUUCCUGACAAAAAAUCCUUGGUCAACAUGAGGAAAAAAAGCACUGAAGGCUUUAGGAAAUACGCGAUAAGGUGGCGUGAACAGGCCGCCAGGGUAAAACCUUCAAUGAAGGAGAGUAAGCUGGUAGAGGUCUUCAUUCGGGCACAGGAUGAGACCUAUUUUCAACAUAUACUUCCGACAAUGGGAAAGUCUUUUAUUGAAGUCCUCAAAAUGGGAGAGAUGAUACAGGACAGAAUCAAGACCGGCAGAAUAGUGAGUUUUGCCACGUUGAAAGCCACCACACAAGUGAUUCAAGAUGGAUCUGGCGCGUUCGGAGGUAAAAAGAAGAAAGAAGACGUGGCGACCAUUGUUGCUGGACCCCAUUCCUAUCCCAAAAGACCGCCUCACCCUUAUCCCCAAUCCCAAGCCCAAGCCUAUGUCCAAGCUCCAUAUAUUCUUCCCCACCAUUACUACCCUCUGCAAAACCUACCAUAUUCCAUUCCACCCCCUCCUUACCCAGUAUAUAACGCACAGCCAUAUGCCCAAACCCCUUCUUACCCGUAAUGGCAUGUGUAAGCUCCACAAAAUCGUCCUUCAGCUCUUCUAAAUUACCAAAACCCCUCCAGAUUCGCUUUCCAACCUAGAACUGAGUAUAAUAAAGAGAAGGCAGCCAAGAAUUAGUUCACACCUCUAGGAGAGUUUUAUGCCAGUCUAUUUGAUAGGUUGAGAAAGUUGAAGGUCUCGAGCCCAAUUCAAGGAAGUCUUUCGAAUCCAUCUCCAAGAAAUCUUAAUUAUUCGUUAAGGUGUGCAUAUUGUUCUGACAUGCCAGGGCACGAUAUCAAGAAAUGCUGGCAUUUGAAGAGAGCUAUCCAAGAUUUAAUUGAUGCAAAUUAAAUUCUAAUCUAGGCCCCAGAAGUUCCAAACAUUAACCAGAAUUCGUUGCCAACCCAUGCAGAAACCAAUAUGUUAGAACUGAUAUAUGAUGGGAAAGAGUCGUCAAGUUAUUAUAAGCCUAUUGUCAGAAUAGAAACCAACGAGGACAAAUCAGUGAAUGUGGCAGAUUCAUUGAAAGCAAUGUCAUUGAUCCAGGAAGAAACGAAAGAAGAUAAAGUUGAAGAAAGCAAAUAGAAACCCGUGAUCAUGGUGAAAGAAGGUAGAACAGCUGUUGGUUCAAGUCAAGAUAAACCUAAGUUGACGAUGGUAGGAGCUAUGGGUAAGCCUAUCAUAACGGUGAAAGGAGCGUUUGCAGUCCCUAUUAUCAUCAAACCGGUGACCCAACCUCCGAUAGUUGAUACAAAAAAGGUCCCCUAGAACUAUAAGCGGACUAUGAUGACUUACUGGGGGAAAGAAUUCAUGGAAAAAGUAGAUGAGGUAGGGGGUCUGACUCAAUCAGGAAGAUGCUUCAUGCCUGAGGUUUGAGGAAGCCCAAUCCAGUUGUGAGUGGGCCUUCAUCUAUCAAGAAGCCAGUCACCGAAGAAGAAGCCAAAGAAUUUUUGAAAAAGAUGAAAUUGUCGGAGUAUUCAAUCAUAGAUCAGCUAAAGAAGACCCCUACUCAAAUUAUCUUCUUAUCUUUGUUGCUACAUUCCAAGGAACAUCGCGAUGUUAUAUUGAAGGUAUUGAAUGAAUCCUAUGUUCCAAGAGAGAUUACGAUAAAUCAGCUUGAGAAAAUGGUUGAAAAAAUCUUUGAGGUCAAUCGGAUCAGCUUUUCUGACGAUGAAUUGCCUGUUGAAGGCACAACUCAUAACCGAGGUCUUUACAUUAUAGUGAAGUGUGAAGAUUUUUACGUCACUCAUGUCUUGAUUGACGGAGGUUUCGGCACAAAUAUUUGCCCUAUUUCCCCCUUGCAAAAGUUGAAUAUUGGUGGUGAGAGGAUCAGGCCCAACAAUGUAUGUGUCAGGGCUUUUGUUGGUGCAAAAUCAAACUCCA